rnacentral:lncRNA from 1 species
ACAAAUUCAUUAGAGAAAGGUGCCACAUUUGAAUAGAAACUACAGCAACAAAGUGCCCUUGAUAAGUUGAAGGAGGCAGUCAUUACUACUUCAAUAUUGCAACUAUAUGAUCAUAAUCUUCUUUGUACGCUUGACAUUGAUGCUUCCAACUUUGCAAUUGGAGCGGUGUCAUAAUACGUAAAGUCUUACUUGAGAAUGCUUUGGGCACGUGGCUAUAUAAGGUAGAAUGGAAAUUACAACAAUAAAAUCCUAACUUUAAUAGAAUACUAACUAAACUCUAAUUAGACCAUAAUAAUGCUAAGCAAGCUAUAAUCAAAUUCAAAGAAAUCCAAAGAAAUUUCAAAGAAAAAAUAAGAAAUCUUAAAAAAAUAUUAGAAUGAUCACAAAUAUAUCUCAAAUACAUCUCAAUUCAAUCUUAAUUUAAUCCUAGUUAAAAUCCUAUUAGACUUCAUUUAAACUUUAGGCCAAAACUAAUUAAAUCUUAAAUCCUAAACAAAUCCUAAUAAAAUCCUAAAUCCUAAAUCAAAUCCUAAAUCCUAUACCAAAUCUUAAACCCUAAAAUAAAUCCUAACUAAACCUUAAAUCCUAAACCAAACCCUAAAUCCUAAACCAAAUCCUAAAUCUUAAACCAAAUCCUAAACUCUAAACCAAAUCCUAAAUGAAACCCUAAUCAAACCCUAAACCCUAAACCAAAUCCUAACCAAACUCUAAACCUUAAAUCAAAUCCUAAACCCUAAAUCAAAUCCUAAACCCUAAAUCAAAUCCUAACCGAAUCCUAAAUCAAAUCCUAACCAAAUCCUAAAUCAAAUCCUAACCAAAUCCUAAAUCAAAUCCUAAUCAAAUCCUAGACCAAAUCCUAAAUCCUCAAUAAAAUCCUAAUCAAACUCUAAACCCUAAAUCCUAAAUAAAAUCCUAAUCAAAUUCUAAACCCUAAAUCAAACCCUUACCAAAUCCUAAAUCCUAAACCAAAUCCUAAAAAAAUCCUAAACCAAAUCCUAAAUCCUAUAUCAAAUCCUAACCAAAUCAUAACCCUAAAUCAAAUCCUAACCAAACUCUAAACCCUAAACCAAAUCCUAACCAAACUCUAAACCCCAAACCACACCCUAAUCAAACCCUAGUAAUUUCCACAAUAGAUUUAAAACUCAAUAACUAAUAAAUAAACCGUUGAUCUUAACUCAAAUUUUGCACACUUCUUAAAAAUUAAGUUAAAAACAAGCACAAAAUUUUUUAAAAAGAUCGGAAUUAUAAAAUAGACGAUAACCUCAAAAACGUGCUCAGGUAUUGGUAGGCUCAUUCUCCAACCUUGAUGCCAAUCUCUUAGAGCCAAUAUCUCUCCUUUUCACCAUUCGAUUGAUCUCAAAAUUCUCAUAUAUAUAGAAAAAUAAUUCUAAUAUCCUUUCACAUAAAUUUCACUCCAAUCCAACUAAUAGAUUGCAAGAAAUCUUAAAAAUCCUCAUUGGACCUAAAAUUCUACUUUCUAAGAUCUUGACCCACUUAAACCUCAAUAAUCCUCAAUUCAACCGUUUGAUAUAGCUAAGAUUUACAAUACAUAUUGAACACAACUAUAACCAUUAAUUUAAAAAAUUUCACCCAUAGAUCUAUUACAAAACUCUUGAAAUCACCCAAAACGUAAAUCCUAUUUUAUUUCACAAAACUCAAGUCAUCCAAAACAAACCUUGACUUUGUAAAGCUCUUACAAAGUCAAUA